rnacentral:lncRNA from 1 species
UGUUUCUGUGCUCCCUCUUAGUGCUCUGAAAUCUUGGGCUCCUCUCCCUCUUGAUUGCUGGCUGAAAAUCUUGGCUUGGCACUCCCAAGCUGCACACCACAGCUCUGGGACAAUCUCAAGCUUUAUAUCCCUUCCCAUCUUGGAGGAAUCAGAGGAAGGAAAGUUAGCAGUGGUUGUGACAGAGGGUUUUUCACUUGUCUCUUGGAGCUCCACCUCAGAAAGACGCAGAGCUGCUAUCAAUCAGUAUGAUUGGCCUAGGAUGGGGCAGCUGUGCUGUGAGACCAACCCAUGGCAGACAUCCAGCUGAUCACACUGUGUCCACAUAAGGCAAAUGCUGAGCUGUAAUCCAUCAAGCUGUUUCCGGUCAUAGGCACAAAGGGAUGCAAUGCCAACUAACUAACUCACUGUCCUGAAGCAGUUCCCUGAUGCCCUAUAAAUCACCAGAUCUACUCCUUGGAUGAUAAAGCAAUGCAAAUUGCAGAAAUUAGAGGGAUGGACAAGAGACUUAGUUUUCGUCAAUGGGAUUUAAAGGAGAAGAUUUGUGCUAUUAUUAAAAUCAUCUGAGACCAGGCAUAGAGAAAAGGCCAUAUGAGUACACAGCCAGAAGGUGUCUGCCUACAAGACAAAGAGGGAAAACUUACCUGAAACCAACCCUGAUGGAUAUUGGAUUUCUAAGCUCCAGAACUGUGAGAAAAUUAAUUUUAUGUGCUUUAAGACACUCAAUUUGUGGUAUUCUGUUAUGGCAGCCUAUGCUAGUCAAUUUGCAUUACCAUAAAGCAACACCUGAGAGUGGGUAAAUUAUAAAGAAAAGAAGUUGAAUCGGCUCAUGGUUCUGCAGGCAGUACAGAAGCAUAGUGCUGGCAAUUGCCCCUGGCAAGGGGCUCAGGAAGCUUACAAACAUGGCAGAAGGCAAAGGGAAGCCAACAUAUCACACGUAAGCUCAGGAAGCUUACAAACAUGGCAGAAGGCAAAGGGAAGCCAACAUAUCACGUGGCGAGAAAGACAGAGAAGCGGUAGGUCCCAGACUCUUUUAAACAACAAGACCUCAUGUGAACUGAGGGGAAACUCACUUUCACCAAGGAGAUGGUGCUAAACCACUAAUGAGGGAUCUGUCCCAUGAGCCAAUCACCUCCCACCAAGACCUACCUCCAAUUUUGGAAAUUAUAUUUCAACAUGAGAUUUGGAGGGGACAAACAUCCAAACCAUAUCCCAGCCUGAGCAGACUAACAGAGUCUCUGAAUAAAUCUAUGAAAAUGACUAGAGUAUUAUUUUGUUGAGUGAUUUCUUCUUGUAUUAGGAUUGGUCUCCUUGAAAAUAUUUUUCUCAUAUCUGUUAUAAUAAAAUACUGAGAAUCAUACUAAUUCUACUCUAAACUUAGAUAUUUAAGAGGGUUGGAUUUGACUGAUUGCUCUGAUGUUGCUAACAUAGUCAAAGACUUUUCAAAACUAAAGUGUAAUAUUAUGUCAUGCAACCUUGAGAAAAUUACAAUGGACAAAGCAGAACUAUAAUUCACAAUUCAUCUCCCAAACAAAUUGUGACACCCCUUCUUUCCAAUCCACUGAAAUAUGCCUAAAAUGAGAAAAAAGGGAAAUCUUAAAAACAACAACAACAACAACAAAGAAAAAACAGAAAACGGCAACAUUCAGGCAAAAAAGAAUGUGAGGACUAUGAUGCUGGCAUGCUAAACUUAAUUAAUAAUAAAUGAGAGAGUUUGGAAUGAU